rnacentral:rRNA from 1 species
GAGGAAUAUUGCUCAAUGGGCGAAAGCCUGAAGCAGCAACGCCGCGUGCGCGAUGAAGGUCUUCGGAUCGUAAAGCGCUUUUGAGAGGGACGAGAUAGGACGGUACCUCUUGAAUAAGUCACGGCUAACUACGUGCCUGCAGCCGCGGUAAAACGUAGGUGGCAAGCGUUAUCCGGAUUCACUGGGCGUAAAGCGCGUGCAGGUGGCUUCGUAAGUUGGACGUUAAAUCUUUCGGCCUAACCGGGAGGUGUCGGUCAAUACUGCGGGGCUUGAGGGUAGAAGAGNGGGGUGGAAUUGCCGGUGUAGUGGUGAAAUGCGUGGAUAUCGGCAGGAACACCUGUGGCGAAAGCGGCCCCCUGGUCUGCUCCUGACACUCAGACGCGAAAGCUAGGGGAGCAAACA